GGCGCACGGGUGCGUAACGCGUAACCAACCUACCCACAACUGGGGGAUAGCCCGCCGAAAGGCGGAUUAAUACCGCAUAAGCUCUGUAACCGGCAUCGGUUAUUUAGUAAAGAUUUAUUGGUUGUGGAUGGGGUUGCGUGCCAUUAGCUAGUUGGUGAGGUAACGGCUCACCAAGGCGACGAUGGCUAGGGGAGCUGAGAGGCUGGUCCCCCACACGGGCACUGAGAUACGGGCCCGACUCCUACGGGAGGCAGCAGUAGGGAAUAUUGGGCAAUGGUCGAGAGACUGACCCAGCCAUGCCGCGUGCAGGAUGAAGGCUUUCUGAGUCGUAAACUGCUUUUAUCAGGGAAGAAUAAGGACUGUGCGCAGUCUGAUGACGGUACCUGAGGAAUAAGCACCGGCUAACUCCGUGCCAGCAGCCGCGGUAAUACGGAGGGUGCGAGCGUUGUCCGGAUUUAUUGGGUUUAAAGGGUGCGUAGGCGGCCUUAUAAGUCUGGGGUGAAAGCCCGCUGCUCAACAGCGGAACUGCCCUGGAUACUGUAGGGCUUGAGGACAGACGAGGUUGGCGGAAUAGAGGGUGUAGCGGUGAAAUGCAUAGAUACCCUCUAGAACCCCGAUUGCGAAGGCAGCUGACUAGACUGUAUCUGA
rnacentral:rRNA from 1 species